UACGUUCCCGGGCCUUGUACACACCGCCCGUCAAGCCAUGGAAGUCAGGGGUACCCAAAGUCGCCGUUCUAACCUUCGGGAAGACGGUGCCCAAGGUAAAACUGAUGACUGGGGCU
rnacentral:rRNA from 1 species